rnacentral:rRNA from 1 species
UACGUAGGGGGCUAGCGUUGUCCGGAUUUAUUGGGCGUAAAGAGCGUGUAGGCGGCCACGCAGGUCCGUUGUGAAAACUGAAGGCUCAACCUCCAGACGUCGACGGAAACCGUAUGGCUAGAGUCCGGGAGAGGAGAGUGGAAUUCCUGGUGUAGCGGUGAAAUGCGCAGAUAUCAGGAAGAACACCCGUGGCGAAAGCGGCUCUCUGGAACGGUACUGACGCUGAGACGCGAAAGCGUGGGGAGCGAACAGG